rnacentral:tmRNA from 2 species
GGGGGUGAUUGGUCUCGACAGCGGCUGUCGAGUGAGGAGAAGCGGGUCGAGGAACGCGGCAAUGAUCUCGUUAACCAUGGGUCGCAAAAAAAUCAAGUGCCAAUUCUCAGCGCACUGACUUCGCCCUCGCCGCCUGAGCGAGUGUGAAAGUCCGUCAGACCGGGGUUCCUCCGACCCGGACCCUGGCGUCGAUCAGGAGGAUCACCGUCGAUCCCGGCCACGGGGUUCGUCGGGACACUCACAGUGGCUGGGCCUGUCACACCGACUUGUUCGCAUGAUCGGCGGGGCCGAGUAGAGGCGAAGCGAACUGCACCCGGAGAAGGCUUCACCAAGCACCGUUGGACGCGGGUUCGAUUCCCGCCACCUCCACUA